rnacentral:rRNA from 1 species
AUUCCAGCUCCAAUAGCGUAUAUUAAAGUUGUUGCAGUUAAAAAGCUCGUAGUUGGAUUUCGGAAUGGGUCAAUUGGUCCGCCGCAAGGUGAGUUACUGGUUGGUCUGUUCUUCUUCGCAAAGACUGCGUAUGCACUUUAUUGGGUGUGCGUAGGAUUUACGACGUUUACUUUGAAAAAAUUAGAGUGUUCAAAGCAGGCUAUCGCUUGAAUACAUGAGCAUGGAAUAAUGGAAUAGGACUUUGGCCUUAUUUUAUUGGUUUCGAACACCGGAGUAAUGAUUAACAGGGACAGUCAGGGGCACUCGUAUUCCGCCGAGAGAGGUGAAAUUCUCAGACCAGCGGAAGACGAACCACUGCGAAAGCAUUUGCCAGGGAUGUUUUCAUCA